rnacentral:RNase_P_RNA from 1 species
UGGGUCGGCUAGACGGUCGCGGUAGUUGAAAAACUAACGAGGAACGUCCGGGCUCCAAAGAGCGCAGUGGUGGGUAACACCCACUCGGUGUGAACCGCAAGAAAGUGCAACAGAGAGUAAACCGCCACGCAAGUGGUAAGGCUGAAACGGUGGUGUAAGAGACCACCAGCGUUCUAGGCAACUAGGGCGGCUAGGUAAACCUCACUGGGAGCAAGGUCGAACAGAAGGCGUUUGAGGGCUGCUCGCCCAAGUCUUCGGGUAGACCGCUUGACGGCAGUGGUAACACUGUCGCUAGAUAGAUGGCCGUCACCGAAAGGGACAGAACCCGGCGUAUCGGCCGACCCUCCAA